UACAGGCCAAGACAGGCCAGACUCAGCCCUUUGGUAAAUUGUGAUUAUCCACAUGCAGCACUUCCCUGCAGUCAGUGCCAUGUCUCCAAAUUCAUCUCCUGGCAAUUAUAUCCAGAAACAAUAAGGUUUUCUACUGAAAACAAAAGCUUGUUGAGACAACAGCAUAAUUAACAUCCACCUGAGUAACUCUCUGCAUCUUGGCUAUGGGCCAAGCACGUUCUCAGCCCAAGGCAGGGAAAAGGAAGGCUCCAAGACUGCUCCCAAGAAACUGCCAUGGCAGCAGAGGCAUUGACAGCCUCCUGAAAGCCAUGGGAAGCCCAGGACUUAAAUCAUCACCGAUUUACAGCUUUGAUUUGUUACUCAACAGGAUCCUCGCUGGAAGAAACAUGGGCUUGGAAAAAAACUCCUGGAGGUCCAAAGGAAGGUCCAAACCUGAUCCUGCAGGUUUCCCUGUUCACACCAGUGAGGG
rnacentral:lncRNA from 1 species